GGUACAGAACUGUAAUCUCAAGAAAAGUAUAAUUUUUAUUAUACUUUUUAGAUUUAGGGGGAGUGAAAACCCUACUUGUGAGUAUUUGCACUCGGAAUGGUUAUGAUUAAUAUUAAAUAGUCGGACAUAGUACGAUAAGGUUGUAUGUCUAAAGGGAAACAGCCCAGAACAAGAGUUAAUAAGGUUCCAAAAUUAUUAUUAAGUGAAAUUAAGGUAGUAUUUAUCUAAUUCGUCCAGUAAAUAGGCCUAGAAGCAGCCAUUUUUUUGAGAUUUCGUAACAGAGCACUGGUUUACUACUAUUUUAUCAAAAAUAAUAGUUUAAACGAUAAAAGCACCGAAAAUUUAACGGAUCUAAAUAAUAUACCGAUACCUUGUCUAUAAAUAAUUAUAUAUAAUUAUUAUUUAUAGGGUAGUGGAACGCUGGGUAAAUCUAAGAUUAUAUCUUUUUAAGAUAUAUAAUAAGAUAACCCAGGUGAUAAUGCUGACAUGAGUAACGAUAAAGGGAAUGAAUCCCUCGCCUAAAGCUUAUGGAAUGGAUUAAAGUAACGGCCUCUAAGUUUAUAUUUGCUUGACAAUAUUCAAUAUUUAAAGUAAAUACCUAAAGGAUUAAACGAUGAGAAAAUCUAGUAGAGUUUACUGCUAUAUGACCUUUGUACAUAUUGUGUUAAAGUGACAAAGUGUUCUGGAAAACUUUAAACUCAGCAAUGGGAUAAUGCUCAUGUUAUUGAACCGUACCUAAAUACUUACUCUAGUAAGCUAGUAGAGAAUACGAAGGCGUUUGAGUUAACAACCAUUAA
rnacentral:rRNA from 1 species